GACGAACGCUGGCGGCGUGCUUAACACAUGCAAGUCGAACGGUAAGGCCCUGCUUUGGUGGGGUGCUCGAGUGGCGAACGGGUGAGUAACACGUGAGUAACCUGCCCUUGACUUUGGGAUAACUUCAGGAAACUGGGGCUAAUACCGGAUACGAGCUCCUGCUGCAUGGUGAGGGUUGGAAAGUUUCGGCGGUUGGGGAUGGACUCGCGGCUUAUCAGCUUGUUGGUGGGGUAGUGGCUUACCAAGGCUUUGACGGGCAGCCGGCCUGAGAGGGGGACCGGCCACAUUGGGACUGAGAUACGGCCCAGACUCCUACGGGAGGGAGGGGUGGGGAAUAUUACACAAUGGGCGGAAGCCUGAUGCAGCAACGCGGCGUGCGGGGUGACGGCCUUCGGGUUGUAAACCGCUUUCGCCUGUGACGAGGCGUGAGUGACGGUAAUGGGUGAAGAAGCACCGGCUAACUACGUG
rnacentral:rRNA from 1 species